rnacentral:lncRNA from 1 species
AUGAAGAAGUGUAAUCAUCCUUGCCGCCAUUGCAUGGCUGGUGACGGUGGAGAUUGCCGGCAUCGGACGGGAGAUUAGGUCGGCCUCGAUGUUGUUGAAGAGUUCCACCAGGUGACGGAGGCGGGUAACCCAGCGAAGAUCCGCUGAAGGAUGAUUUCGCGUAUGCGAGAUCCAAACCAUAGGAGAAGAAUUUAUCUCCGGUGAUGGUUAUUAAGGCGAUGCCGGCAGUUGAUUGAGAUUUGGCUCAUGAUAUCCCGGAGCAUUGGUUAGCUAAUUUUGUGGU